rnacentral:rRNA from 1 species
AUUGAACGCUGGCGGCAGGCUUAACACAUGCAAGUCGAGCGAGCGGCGGACGGGUGAGUCAUGUCUGGGAAACUGCCUGAUGGAGGGGGAUAACUACUGGAAACUGUCGCUAAUACCGCAUACCAUCAGAUGUGCCCAAAUGGGAUUAGCUAGUAGGUGGGGUAAUGGCUCACCAAGCCGACGAUCCCUAGCUGGUCUGAGAGGAUGACCAGCCACACUGGAACUGAGACACGGCCCGGACUCCUACGGGAGGAAGCAGUGGGGAAUAUUGCACAAGGGGCGCAAGCCUGAUGCAGCCAUGCCGCGUGAAUGAAGAAGGCCUUCGGGUUGUAAAGUACUUUCAGCGAGGAGGCGUUACUCGCAGAAGAAGCACCGGCUAACUCCGUGCCAGCAGCCGCGGUAAUAC